rnacentral:tRNA from 1 species
GAGAAAGAAGCAUAAAUGGUCUAUGCGAUUGGCUUGAAACCAAUAUAUGGGGGUUCGAUUCCUUCCUUUCUUG